GAGGAGAAGAGCCGAGAGACAAACACCUUAUGGGAAGCUACAGAAUGUGUCAGCUGUGUUGUCUGGAGACACCGACCUCUCAACAGAAUAAACAGGCGAUGGAUUUCUGCAGCUGCUGAAUGCAGAGUGACAGCUGAGCUGAGCUGCGGACUUCACAGAGGGCUUUACGCCACAACCUCAUCCCAGGAGCCACCUCCUCCUCACUGCUUUGAGGUUACAGAAACUCAUCUAGCCGCAUUACAGCUAUAUCAAGAGGAUUGUUUGGCCGUCGCACCAUAGCCCCAGCUUCCUCCGGGCUGGUUUCUCUCUGACCCUUGUUC